UGGGGCCACCUCUACCACUGGCAGAGCCCCGACAUCAACCAGGUCUGGAUUCCCUGGUCCGACUCCUUUGACCUCCCAAGUCUCAACAGAAACAUCCCUGACAUUGAGUACGAGCAGUUCAUUGCAGGCCUCUGAAUACUCAGUCCAGGAAAGCUAAACCAUUCUAGCCUUCAUCGGUUCUGGGAAAGCAAUCUUCAGAGUGGGAAAAAACAUUGAAAAAUAAUAUUCUGUGAGUUGCUUUCUACCCUUGCCCAGAGAUGAGAAACAUCUGAAGGUGGAGG